UCAAAACCCACUAAAACUAAUGAGUAUGCCUAUAAAACUAUAGCUGAAUUAAUGUUAGAACUAGUAAUAAGAAAUCACAACUUUCUCUUUAGCAUCCGUGUAAAUCAGCUCGAACUAAUCACUGAUACUUAUCGACCAAACAAUUUAACCAUUAACAAUUCUACAAGACAUCCAACUUUACCCACACCGUUAACCCAACACAGGAAUGCAAUCAAGAAAGACAUAAAAGUAAAGAAGGAACUCGGCAACCACAAGCUUCGCCUGUUUACCAAAAACAUCACCUCUAGCAAAUUCAACAUGUAUUAGAGCACUGCCUGCCCAGUGAUUUUAUUCAACGGCCGCGGUAUUCUGACCGUGCAAAGGUAGCAUAAUCACUUGUCUUUUAAAUAAAGACUAGUAUGAACGGCACCACGAAAGCCUAACUGUCUCCUUUACUUAGUCAAUGAAACUGAUNUUCCCGUACAAAAGCGUGAAUAUUAAAACAAGACGAGAAGACCCUAUGGAACUUAAAACACACAACCACUUUAACCCUACAUAAUAAUAAUAAACACCUGGACUAUGCUGUUUUUGGUUGGGGCGACCACGGAGUAAAACAAAACCUCCGAGAACAUUACCCAGAUAAACAUAACAAAGUAUCAAAACCUUGAAUUAAAGACCCAAUAAAUUUGAUCAUCGAACCAAGCUACCCUAGGGAUAACAGCGCAAUCUUCUUCAAGAGCCCUUAUCACCAAGAAGGUUUACGACCUCGAUGUUGGAUCAGGAUACCCAGACAGU
rnacentral:rRNA from 1 species